UACAGAGGUCUCAAGCGUUGUUCGGAUUCAUUGGGCGUAAAGGGUGCGUAGGUGGCGCGCUAAGUCCAGGGUGUGAAAUUUCGGGAGCUUAACUCCGAAACUGCAUUGAUACUGGCGUGCUUGAGGACUGGAGAGGAGAGACUGGAAUUCACGGUGUAGCAGUGAAAUGCGUAGAUAUCGUGAGGAAGACCAGUGGCGGAAGGCGGGUC
rnacentral:rRNA from 1 species